rnacentral:rRNA from 1 species
CAGCGCCGCGGGAAUACAGAGGGUGCGAGCGUUAAUCGGAUUUACUGGGCGUAAAGCGUGCGUAGGCGGCUAAUUGAGUCGGAUGUGAAAUCCCUGAGCUUAACUUAGGAAUUGCAUUCGAUACUGGGAAGCUAGAGUAUGGGAGAGGAUGGUAGAAUUCCAGGUGUAGCGGUGAAAUGCGUAGAGAUCUGGAGGAAUACCGAUGGCGAAGGCAGCCAUCUGGCCUAAUACUGACGCUGAGGUACGAAAGCAUGGGGAGCAAACAGGAUUAGAUACCCCCGUAGUCCCUGUCUCUUAUACA